CCUACGGGUGGCAGCAGUGAGGAAUAUUGGUCAAUGGGCGCGAGCCUGAACCAGCCAAGUAGCGUGAAGGAUGACUGCCCUACGGGUUGUAAACUUCUUUUAUAAAGGAAUAACGUGAGGCACUUGUGCCUUUUUGUAUGUACUUUAUGUAUAAGGAUCGGCUAACUCCGUGCCAGCAGCCGCGAUAAUACGGGGGAUCCGAGCGUUAUCCGGAUUUAUUGGGGGUAAAGGGAUCUUAGAUGGGUUGUUAAGGCAGUUGUGAAAGUUAGGGGCUCAACCGUUAACGUGCAAUUGAUACUGGAAGUCUUGAGUACAGGAGAGGUAGACGGAAUUCGUGGUGGAGCGGUGAAAUGCGUAGAUAUUACGAGGAACUCCGGUUGCGAAGGCAG
rnacentral:rRNA from 1 species